rnacentral:rRNA from 1 species
CCUACGGGCGGCUGCAGUGGGGAAUAUUGGGCAAUGGGCGAAAGCCUGACCCAGCAACGCCGCGUGAAGGAAGAAGGCUUUCGGUAUGUAAACCCCUUUUGGCAGGGAAGAGCAGAAGACGGUACCUGUCGAAUAAGCCACGGCUAACUACGUGCCAGCAGCCGCGGUAAUACGUAGGUGGCAAGCGUUGUCCGGAUUUACUGGGUGUAAAGGGCGUGUAGGCGGGCUGGCAAGUCAGAUGUGAAAUCCGGGGGCUCAACCGCCGAACUGCAUUUGAAACUGGCGGUCUGGAGUAUCGGAGAGGCAGGCGGAAUUCCUAGUGUAGCGGUGAAAUGCGUAGAUAUUAGGAGGAACACCAGUGGCGAAGGCGGCCUGCUGGACGACGACUGACGCUGAGGCGCGAAAGCGUGGGGAGCAAACAGGAUUAGAUACCCGAGUAGUC